UGAAUCAGCAUUUAGUACUGGUGGGAGGGUGAUAACUCCAAAUCGUAAUCAGCUUAAACCUGAUCUUGUGGAGGCACUUAUGUGUGUGCAAGCAUGGGGUCGUGCUGAUAUGUUAGCUGAAAUUGCUAACAAGACCAAUGCAUUGAACACGGUACUUGACGAUGAAUCAGAAUCGGAAGCAUCUACUGUCACUGAAGCUUGAGGUGGAGAUUUCAUAAGUGAAGGAUGGGCUAGAAAGCCUGCAAUUGCAAACUAUCUACCUAUAUAUUUUAUUAUGUUGGCAAUGUAAUAGUAUAUUAAGACUUCUAUAUUUCUGUGAGACUGAAUUUGCUUGCUGAGU